rnacentral:misc_RNA from 1 species
GGACUUCCUUUGCUGUGAUUUAAAGCAACCCCUUUUAUGGCCAUACAUUUUGCAAGUCCUUAUUUAAUAGAGAAUUCAAAUAUUGAGAUUCCAAAAGCAAUUCAAAAAAUCAUCAGAUCCUGGGAAACUUUUGUAUUUGCCUGUGACUUGAUUCAUUAUAGCCAACUAAAAGCAGAACAUUUUACACCAUAAAAGACAAAGGAUUGAAUUUAAAUGUUGUUACUCCACGUUUUCAGGACUUUGUGGGUUACUAAAAUAUGUUUCUAGUCAUUUCUGUGCUUUUGUCCAGGAGGAAAAAGUAGAAGCACGGGAGUCCUGUUUGAAUGUGUCAGAGGCUGUUCUGGCACAGCCACUUCUGCAGCUUUUAGGCCAUUUGAAAUUUAAAGACCGACUCUUAAUUAGAUCUAGGAUCCCAUGUGCUUAGUUCUUAACAAUAAUGUGCACAGUAAAUCAUUUUUCUUCUUCUAUAUUUUAAUGAAAUUAAUUAUUUAGUCUCUAUAUUUUGAAAAUAUACUAUUUAAUUCUUAUAUUUUAUUUUUUUUAAAUCAUUUAAUCCCUCCGCUAAAUUUUCAAAGUCAAAGCUAGUCAAACUAUUGUUUAAUCUCUCUAUUUUAAAGAAAUUGAUUGGUUUAUCUCUAUAUUUUAAAAAACACUAUUAUUUAGUAUCUUUAUUUUUGUGAAACUAAUUAGUUAC